UGACUGUGUGGUGGAGUUGAUGCGAGUGAGAAUGCAGGCAUGAGUAGCGUGUGACGGGUGGGAAUCCCGUCCGCCGAUUAUCCAAGGGUUCCAGGGUCAAGUUUGUCUGCCCUGGGUGAGUCGGGUCCUAAGGCGAGGCCGACAGGCGUAGUCGAUGGGUAACCAGUUGAUAUUCUGGUACCGGCUUGUCACCGUCCGUGUCGAGGUGUGUGAUGCUAAGCAUGUGAGCUUGUCUUGGGAGUGUUUUUGAUGCUUCUGGGGUGGGUGAGUGUGUGAACCGAUCAUGUAGUAGGCAAGCUGCGGAGGGACGCAGUGAGGUAGCUCAUCCCCGGUGAUGGUUGUCCGGGGCUAAGUGUGUGGACUGUCUGGUAGGUAAAUCCGCUGGGCGUGAAGGUUGAGGCAUGAUGGGGAGCCCAUGGUUGUGGGUGAGUGAGUGAUCCUGUACUGUCGAGAAAAGCUUCGUGAGCGAGGUGGCGGGUCCGCCCGUACCCUAAACCGACACUGGUGGAUAGGUAGAGUAUACCGAGGCGAUCGAGUGAAUCGUGGUGAAGGAACUCGGCAAAAUGCCCCCGUAACUUUGGGAUAAGGGGGACCUGAGCUGUCGUGCACCCGUGCGGUGUGGUGGCGGUGAGGGGCGCAGAGUCCAGGGGGAAACGACUGUUUACCAAAAACACAGGUCCGUGCGAAGUCGUAAGACGAUGUAUACGGACUGACUCCUGCCCGGUGCUGGAAGGUUAAGGGGAACUGUGAGUGUAUGCGUAGCGGUGAACUUAAGCCCCAGUAAACGGCGGUGGUAACUAUAACCAUCCUAAGGUAGCGAAAUUCCUUGUCGGGUAAGUUCCGACCUGCACGAAUGGCGUAACGACUUCCCAACUGUCUCAACCGCGAACUCGGCGAAAUUGCAUUACGAGUAAAGAUGCUCGUUACGCGCAGCAGGACGGAAAGACCCCGGGACCUUUACUAUAGUUUGGUAUUGGUGAUUGGGACGGUUUGUGUAGGAUAGGUGGGAGACGUUGAUGCGGCCACGCUAGUGGUGGUGGAGUCGUUGGUGAAAUACCACUCUGAUUGUUCUGGUUAUCUCACUGUGGACCGUGAUCCGGUUCAAGGACAGUGCCUGAUGGGUAGUUUGACUGGGGCGGUCGCCUCCUAAAGGGUAACGGAGGCGCCCAAAGGUUCCCUCAGCCUGGUUGGUAAUCAGGUGGUGAGUGUAAGUGCACAAGGGGGCUUGACUGUGAGACUGACAGGUCGAGCAGGGACGAAAGUCGGGACUAGUGAUCUGACGGUGGCUUGUGGAUGCGCCGUCACUCAACGGAUAAAAGGUACCCCGGGGAUAACAGGCUGAUCUUGCCCGAGCGCUCAUAGCGACGGCAUGGUUUGGCACCUCGAUGUCGGCUCGUCGCAUCCUGGGGCUGGAGUCGGUCCCAAGGGUUGGGCUGUUCGCCCAUUAAAGCGGCACGCGAGCUGGGUUCAGAACGUCGUGAGACAGUUCGGUCCCUAUCCGCUGCGCGCGGAGGAAUCUUGAGAAGGGCUGUCUUUAGUACGAGAGGACCGAGACGGACUGACCUCUGGUGUGCCAGUUGUUCUGCCAAGAGCAUGGCUGGUUGGCUACGUCGGGUUGUGAUAACCGCUGAAAGCAUCUAAGCGGGAAGCACGCUUCAAGAUAAGGGUUCCCACAGGAGUGU
rnacentral:rRNA from 1 species